UUGUAUGAACAGUAUGGGGUGAAUGUGAGGCACCAAGAAUAUUUUGCUGACAGCCCUUCUAUUGGAAUGGAUCCUGCUACUCGAGACGAAUGACUCCAUGUUUAAUCAGGAAUGGCAAAAUUGCUGGUGGAAUGAAUUUUAUGAAACACAAGCCUAUAACAUUUCCAUGGAAACACCAAAAAUACUGCAAUUAUUCGCUACUGACAUCACAGUGCAUGUAAUCAAUUGUGAACUAGAUUAGCAAUGAACUUUCCUACCCUCUUUUUUUAAGAAAAAAAAAGUAACUUUAUUGUAUCAUUUCCCCUUGCCCUUUUUCUUUCCUUGGAAUUAAUCUUUAGUCACAGCUGAAAUGAAUAUGCUUCUCUUCCUAAUAAUUGUUGUACCUAAAAAUUCAUCAAGUUCAACAUCUCAGGAGUUCAUUAAGUUCACUAUUAACCGCUCAUCCUAAUAAUCGGUGUAUGUAAAAUUUCACCUAAUGCAAGAUCUCAAUUUAUCAUA